rnacentral:rRNA from 1 species
CCUACGGGUGGCAGCAGUGGGGAAUCUUGCGCAAUGGGCGAAAGCCUGACGCAGCGACGCCGCGUGAGGGAUGAAGGUCUUCGGAUCGUAAACCUCUGUCAGCAGGGAAGAACGGUCACUGUGCUAAUCAGCCGUGAAUUGACGGUACCUGCAAAGGAAGCACCGGCUAACUACGUGCCAGCAGCCGCGGUAAUACGGAGGGUGCGAGCGUUAAUCGGAAUUACUGGGCGUAAAGCGCUCGUAGGCGGUAUGUCAAGUCAAGUGUGAAAGCCCCGCGCUCAACGUGGGAACUUCAUUUGAAACUGGCAAACUGGAGUGUGUGAGAGGAGAGUGGAAUUCCAGGUGUAGGAGUGAAAUCCGUAGAGAUCUGGAGGAACAUCAGUGGCGAAGGCGACUAUCUGGCACAUAACUGACGCUGAGGAGCGAAAGCGUGGGUAGCAAACAGGAUUAGAUACCCGAGUAGUC